rnacentral:ncRNA from 1 species
UAUAAAUACAGAUGGUAGUGUGCUGUACUGUGUACAACAAGGGAAUGAAUUAUAUGAUUUAAGCGUAAUGUAAGUACGUCAUCUUGUUGGUCAUCUUUUAGGUGAUUUGUAUUAUA